UGCAAUGACAAUUGCAAACAUUUUACUAGAGAGAAUUAUGCUUCAGUCUCUCUCUGAAGUUUAUUUCUGUUUGCUAACAAAACACUCCUUUUGUGUUUUGUGUUUGUGGUAUUAUGCUAGCAGUCAUGGACACUAAUUCCCAAACAUGGGCUUGUUAUUCCUGCUUGGGGUACAAUCACAGAAAUAUAAAAGGCAGAGGAACUAUGAGUUUUGACAAUCCCAGAAAUGUUACAAAAGGAGAGGUCAUGAUGCCCUUUCAAUUGAGGUGGUGAGUGGAAAUGUUUGGGACCUACUGUUCCAGGAAACCUGUUGUCCGCAUCAGAGGACCUCUUUGUGGGCACCAUAUAAACACAUAACAAAAAGCUGACUCCUGUCCUGGAAAGCUUUGGUCUUAUAUAAUACGUUUCAGAAAAUACAAUGCAUAAAAAUUAAUUUCUUUAGCAGGAUCUGUAGUUGCACUAAGUCUUCUGCCACCCUUUAAGCAGACUAUCUUAUGUGUCUGAAGGGAUCCUAUAAAUGGAUAGAAAGUUAUGAAAUAGAAAAAUGGUAGAAGCAUAUCUGUCAGAGAGUGUCAGCUGGACAAUUUUUCAGUAAGUGACUGAUGGUUAAAGUUUCUGUAUUAUGCAUAUUAACUCCAGUUGACUUUUGUAGCCUAGAUUCAAUUUUCAUAUUACCCAGUAUAGCUUAAUGAGCAAAUUGUCCCUUAGCUACAUAAGGGAUCAUGUAGUACCAAUUCCUGCCAACUUUCCUCUCGGAGUUCCAUAAAUAAUUGGUCUUUCUGAAUUUUUCCUUUGCCUUUAUUUUAUUUAUUUAUUUUUUUUUAAUGGGUAGAGACUACUGCUGUCUUCCUGGGUGUUGUGGGCAGAGCUCUAUCGCUAUGAUAGAAAUCAAGAAAACCUACAUUAUAGAAGAAUGCUUUCUUGCUUUCUUCAUGGAAUUAUCUUACAAAGUAUGUAUGUGUCUCAGGAGAGUGUUUCUUCACCUCAAGGAAGAUUGUGUAUAAAACAAAAGUCCAGUGAAAGCACAAUUUGAAUAGCCUGAUUAUAGACUAAGAUUUGAAUGAAAUAGGACAUGUUAAAAUAACUGAGAAGAGUAAACCAAUGUGAACCAACCUUCUUAAAAAGAGAGAAAAAUAUAUAGUCAUCUGGGAUAAUACUUGUAUAGGGAGAGAGAAAUGAACCAAAGUAAAAACUAUAUUAGUCUUGCAACUAUUCCAAAGAAUAAUGAUGGUUAUAGAAAAUAGCUAAACAGCUAUGGUAGUUAGGUUCUGCUUUGGUAUUUGUGUCCAUCUGUGGUAUUUCUGCACAUGGUCACAUAUAACUAUGGCCAGUGAAGUCAGCUCUUUGGAAGCAUCUCUAGAAAAAGGCAUUCUGGUGCUGUGUGUACUAGUGCUGAGUUUCAUGGUUUCUGUCUUGCAUUGUAAAAAGGCAGUGACCAAAGAAAUGGAGGAGUAGAAUAAACCUGAUUUUCAGUGUUAAGAUAGAUACAUAAGAAAGAAAUACCUGACAUACAAUAUAUUUUGAAAAAACAAGCUAUGCUUACUCAAGAAUUAAAUAUUGUAUGCAUAUCUGUUAAUAGAAUGCAAAUUAAUCUGUAUCUGGUGUGGCCAAUGGUUUUGUUCUAAACUACUCACUUUUCUUCAAGCAUUUUUCUCUGUGCUCUUUUACCAUCUGUUUAUGAAUAUAAGUAAAUAUUGUUAUUGUAAAGAUACUCUCUAGUCUGGCUGGUAACGUGUGAUCCAAAUUAAAUCCUAGCUCUCUAGGGAGUUGCUGAUUUUCAGUGGUUCUGAGUAUGUGAGAUUGAGAGUGUGUGUUAAAACCCACAAACCACCAAGGUAUUAUUAUUAUUUUGCUUAGAGACCCUGCCCCUAUAUGGGGAGGGGGUGCUAGAAAUCUGGGUGCAUGAGGUAAGUGUAUGGAAGUUCUGCUUACAUAUGGAGUGAAUUAGGAAAGGCUGAGAGAGAAAAAUACUACAUUUUCCAGUGUCCAUCAUUAUGAAAGUGGAGUAAGUGUUAAGCAGCUGCCAACUUUACAUGCUGAGCAGAAUACUGACAGUAAGCUCGUCGUCUUUAAGUUGCUUAUUUUACCAAUAUGUUUCUCUUUGUUCUUGAUGGGGGGAAAAUUUUAGGCAAUCUCAAAUAUAUUAAGUAUUGAAGUUUGAAUGGUUUAAAUGGAAAAUUUAGCCACAUUAAUAGUGCAUCAUCUUUUUUCUAUUAAGGAAAAAAUAAUGGCAAAGGUUACAGGACAUAAUUUAAAUAUAACCAUGUUAAAUAAGGACAAAGUGGCCCCAUGAUAGGAAAAGAAUUAGCCCAAGACAGCUUGAGAGGAAACAAAGCCAUGGCAGAUCUAUUUUCUGCAUAAGUAAAUAAAUACAAAAUGAAAAACUCAAAAUUGACCUGAGAGACAUUCCUUGGUUUUGGAGGAGACAAUUCACUGGAAAUGUCAGCAUAACAACAGGAGUAUGUCAGGUGUAAGUGAAAAAAGAAAUGAGUUCUUAAAUAGGAAUCAGAAAAAAUAAUUAAAAUAGAACCAGCAGUAUAUGUAAUGAUGUCCUUUAUGCCUAUUAUCACCUACAUGAUAUAAUUCUUAGUCAGUAAAGGAAAACAGGGAAAUAUUUUCUUACUUUUCUGCAUUAUUCUACAAUGUGAAAUUAGACCAAUUUUCCAGAUGUCUCUGUUAUGUAUCCAGUUGGGCAAGCCAAAAGGGUAUUCUGCUGUUUCAUUGAAAAGAGUUCUUUGUAAAUUAGACACAAUACUUUUAUUAAGCAUUUGGCGCAGCAGCUACCUGAACUGAUGUAGACAAAGCAGAUGAAAAAUAUCCAAAAUUAAUGUCGUGUUUGCUGUUGUGUUCAGAAAUAUUUUCUUCAUUGAAGUAUGAAAUUUUACUGUGAACUGAAAUAAAAUCUUAAGAUAGUGAUAUCUAGGACUUAAUUUCCAAAGUUUUAGAAUGCAAAAUGUGUGAAAAAUAUACGUUGUGAACAAUCGGAUAAUUCUAAUAUAAAUAAUGAAACAUAUUUCAGUGAAAUUACUGGAGAUCGAGUGAAGCUGUUCCCAAAAGAUUAAAAUGCAGUUGCACAAUUUGAAGCAACACUGAGUGUGGAAUCAGACUGUAAACCUUGUGAAAAGAGAAAUAUUUAGAAGUUUUAAACAAGUAAACAGGCCUGAAUCAAUGCAGUUUGGACUCUUAUCCAAAGGUACCCCAAACUUGUAGCUAUGCACCAUGUGUGAUGAUAGUAUACCAUCCAGAUAACUUCCAUGAUUCAAACUGCUGUAUAAUGAAUAUUACUGUCUUAUACUAUGAACCCUAUGUCCUCUCCUCUGGGCAGCAGAAACAAUUUCAACUGUAUACCCUGUGUACUGGCUAAAAAUAUAUCAUUUCAUUUACUCUCUUAGUUCCAAAGUUAACGUGCUAAAAUAAAAAAAGAAUUGUUUCCACUAAAUAUAAACCAGCCUUUCCACUAGCUCUUUUAUGGUUUUGCUUUCUCAAUAUUUCUCAGUAUUUCUCUUGAUUUGGCAGGUAAGCCUGUUUAUACAGGCGCUGACCAUAGUUACCUUCCAUUGGUUUUACUUUUGCCGGAGCUAAUCAGAACUUUGUAGAAUCAGGCUUUUCACUUACCAGAGUAAUUUUAACUAAAAGAGAAAUGAAGAGAAAGAGGAGAAAGAAAACGUGAAGUGUUUGUUUGUUUGUUUUAUUUUUAAGCAAAUGUAUUUUAAAGUAUAUUUGCAUAAUGACAGCAUUCUUACUUAAGGCUUUUUAGGAAAAAACAAAACAAACAAACAAACAAGAAAAAAA